rnacentral:lncRNA from 1 species
GACUGAAGCCAGAUUUGUGUUCCUCUUUUGGCAGAUUUCGUCAGAUUGACAAGGGAACUUUGUAGAAAGCCUCUUCCUAUACUGGGAGGGAGAGAAACAAGGGAAAGUGAGAGGGACCUUGAUUCUGAGGUAAGUUCUAAGACCUCUUAGCAUAGCAAAGUGCCAGGCUCUGUGGCAUUGUUUUCUGAGUCCCAACAUACAGUUUGCUGCUGUGGACCUUGUCCUACAGAGCCCAGAGACUUUGAUUUCAGUUAGAAUCUCACCCCUACUGGUUGUAUCAUUGUGACUGAUGUUUCUACCCUGUGGACCUUAGUCGACUCCUGUGUGAAAUGAGAAGGCUGAGCUGACUGCCAAGUCCCUUUCCAGCAUGAGCAUGUUAAAGAGUAUGAUUUUUGAUGGGAUGCUCCAUGAAUGAUGUGGAAUGGACUCAUUUGUUUUCACUAAAAAGAAUGGCCUUUAAUUUUAGCAAGAGCAAUUUAGAUGAAAAUUUUUUAAAAAUAUUCUGAAUAUAGCAAAGAAAGGACUUUGAAAUAGUUUACUAUGAAAUGUCUUUUAUCAAUAACAAAAAUCAUCUCCCAAAACAGGCUGCUAGAGUUUACAAAGCUCAUUCAUCUGCAUGUGCCACAUUUGACAUCCAUAUAGGUGGUGAUUAUUAUUGUUUCCAUUUUUUAAAAAGACCAGUGAAAUUAAGUGACUUGCCUAGGAAAAAGAGCCAAGACAUAAGUGAGCUGAUAUUCCAGUCCUUUACUCUUAACUCCAAAUCCCAGAUACUUCCAAGUUUCCCACACAAGCUGUAGUUUCCAUAGUGAGGCAUAGCUGCUGAUUUGACUACAAGGUCACCCAUGUAGCAGGGUUGCAUGUAGACCUUUAUGAAGAGAGAGAAUGAUAUUUUGUUUGAAGAGACAACCUGAUAGUCCUUAAGAAUUGUUCUUUUGUACUCUCUGUUUCCUGGUUGUCAUGUCCCAUACUGCUUUCCUCUGCCCCAUCCUUCUACCAUGAUUUUCUGCCUCACCUCAGGUUCAGGGUUAUGGAGUCGGCCAACCAUGGACUAGACUUCUGGAACCAUGAACCAAAAUGAACUCUUCCUUCUCUAAUUUUUUUGGGGGGGUCACAACAAUGAAACUUUGACUAAAACAAAUUGAUACUAAGAAAUGGGGUCUUUGCUGUGACUAACCUGAUCAUGUGGUUCAAAAAUUUUUGGAGUUUAUGGAAGGAAUUUUGAAAAGUUUAGAGAUGCAAACUGGAAAACCUUUAAAAUAUCGUAAGUGACGCUUAAUGGGAAAUUCUGGUAGGAACUCAGAAGACCAGAAUGCUUCUGAGACUGUGGAUAAUAAAGACUGGGUUCAUAAGGUUCAGAGGAGAAGGAGAACUCUAAUAGAAAUUGAACAGUUGGCCAUUUGUGUUACAUUUUGGCAAAGAAGUUGUCCUCAUUUUGCCCAUAUCCUAAGACUUUCUGUGAGGUUGAAUUUAAAGGUGAUAGACUAAUUAAUCUGGUGGAAGAAACUUCAAGGCAGCACAGCAUUCAGAUUAUGGCAUUGAUACUACUGGAGGCUUUUAGCCAAGUUUAUUGUGAAAAUCGGGAGCAGAAAGCAAAGCCAAAAGAUUUGAAAAACUUGCAGUUUGACCAGAAAAGUGCAAGGAAACAUAGGGCUAAGGAAUACAUGGUUGUCAAAGAGAUUGCAACCACAAAAGAAAUGCUAAAUAGUUUAUCCAGAAACGACAGGAAGUUUCUCCAGCUGCCCGUGCUGGUGAGAUGAGCUGGGUUCAAAGGAGCUGGCUAAAACAUUAAACUAAGAAAAAGAUGAAGAAAUCACACAACACAUGGACACGAGUUUCUCAGGUUGAGGGUGCGACUGCUCUAGGAACUUAAGGGUCAGCUUCCAUGCUGGACAGCACUGGAAAGAGAGAGAGCGUGCACCUGGAAUCUCUUUAUUUUAUAGGGGGGAUACUCAAAGGAGCUUCGAUGGGAUGUUCUUCACCAAAUAAGGCAGGAGAUAAGGUUUCAAAAGGUGGAGUCUUGCUUUGUGAUGUCUUGUGGUCAACAGAUUGAUUGACAUCUUGGCAAGAUACACCCAUCUCAGGUGCUUUGUGGGUUCACAGGCAGAGCAAGAGGAAAGGUACACUUACAUCGCACAGCCCAAUCAGUGUGCAAUGCCAGACCUGUCCCCUCAUAUCGCUCCAAUGAGCAUUGCUCACACACACACAGUCUAUGGAUGGCUCACAACAAGGAAAUAUGGCUUGAGAGCAUCUCAGGAAUUGGCAUGAUCACACCCAUUUGAGGCUCAAGAAUGUAAAAAUAAAAGUUCCUUUGAGAAGAGACCAUGUAUGUAUCCUGCACUGAGGGGCCAAGGAAGUUGUUUCACUGUGCUCAGCCUCUCAGGCACUCAGAGGCUGCUGCAGCCAUAGUCUUACUCAAGAGGCAGAAAUCCUUGGCAUCAACCACAUAGUGCUGGUUCUGCAGGAAUGCAGGAUGCUGGAGUUGGGUCAUGGAGGCUUCCACUGAAAUUUCAAAGGAAAGCCUGGGGGGACCAGGCAAAGUGCAUGGUUGGAAUCCCUGAAGGCAGCCAUUGAGAGGGCAAUGUGUAAAGAUGUGAGAAGGAAGUCAAAGCUGCAAUGGAGACCUCUGAGAUUAAGAGAUGCCAAUAACAUGGAAUAUUUGUCAAGAAAAUCAGCAGAAAUCUACCAAAGAUAAGCCAAGAGAGAAGCUAUCUGUUUCUAGUCAGGAAGACCAUGGGCGUAGAGUUACACAGCCCUUUGGAAAGAGCAUCACAAUUCCAUGUGCCUCAUAUAUGUGAUAUGGAUCUACAGGACUUGUUUGCCCAGUUUGAAUUUUAGUCUUGCUUUGGUCCCAUAUCUUCCUUCUGUGUCCCUAUUUCUCCCUUAUAGAACGGAAAUGUUUACUUUGUGUCAUUGUAUAUUGGAUAUGAGUAACUUGCUUAUUUUUUAAAAUAUCUUUUUAGUUGUAGAUAGACACAAUAACUUUAUUUAUUUUUUUAAUGUGGUGCUGAGGAUCGAACCCAGUGCCUUACACAUAUAAGUUACAUGUUUUACCACUGAGCCACAGAACCCCAGCCCCACAACUUGCUUUUGAUCCUUGUAGGGGAAUACAUCCAAGAGUUUUCCUUGAGUCUCAGAUAAGAUUUUGGACUUACACUUUUGGGUAAUGUUGGAACCAUUACGACUAGGGAUUCUUGGAAAUGGACUAAAUGUAUUUUGCAUUGUAAGAUAGGUAUGAGCUUUGGGGAACCAGGGGCAGAAAUUAUGGUUUAGAUAUGAGAUGUCCCAAAAAGCUCAUGUGUGAGACAAUGCAAGAAUUUUCAGAGGUGAAAUGUUUAGAUUAUGAAAGCUAUAACCUAAUUCAUGGAUUAAUCCAUGGAUAUGGUAUAAGUGGGAGGUAACUAUGGCAAGUAAGGUAUGGCUGGAGAAAACAGUUCACAGGAGAAGUACCUUUAUAUUUUUUGAGGUUUAUGUUUUGUUCCUGGUGAGUGAGGCUUUCUCUCUACUCCCUGGUUGCAGUGUCCUAAGCUGGUUUCCUCUGCUUCACCUUUCUGCCUUGAAGUUCUGUCUUACCUCAGGCCCAGAGCUAUGAAGUUGGUGGACCAUGGGCUGAGUGCCUGAAACUGUGAGCCAAAAUAAAAUUUUCCUUGUUAUGGGUUGUAUGAAAGAUGUUCCCCCAAAACUCAAGUGUGGGACAAUGCAAGAAGAUUUAGAGGAGACAGCCUUAAUCCAAUAAGUGAAUUAAUCUCCUGAUAUGGAUUAACUGAGUGGUAACUGAAGGUGGGUAGGGUGUGGCUGAAUGAGGUAGAUCAUUGGGGGCAUGGUUUUGGGGGUAAAUAUUUUGUAUCUGGCAAGAGAAGUCUCUCUCUCUGCUUCCUGAUCAUCAUGUGUGCUGCUUCCCUCCGCCACACUCUUCUGCUGUGAUAUUCAGCCUUACCUCCAGCCCUAAGGAAUGGAGCCAGCCUUCUAUGGACUGAGACCUCUGAAACCAUGAGUCCCUAAAUAAACUUUUCCUCCUCUAUAAUUGUUCUUGUCAGACCUUUUAGUCACAGCAGUGAAAAAGCUGGCUGAAACAAAUUCAUACUGAGAGUGGGGUUGUUGCUAUGACUAACCUGACAAUGUGGUUCAUUGUCAUAAUGCUUUCGGAUCUUUUUGGAAUUUGUGGGAGGAAUUGUGAGAUGUUUAGCAGUGCAAGCUAUAGGUCUCUUAGUCACAGCAGCAAAAAGCUAGCUAGAACAUUACUCCUUUUAAAAAAUAAAAAUGAAUGGUUUUUUUUUUCCUUUUUUUUUUUCAUUUCCAGUAAGUACAUACAUAUGGUUAAAACUACAGAGACCCACAAAGCAGUCAAAGAGUAGUAUCUAGUAUGGAGCUGGGAUUCUGGCCAUAGUUAAAAUUGUGAGGAUGUGGGCUCUAUUUAUAGUAAAUUUUCAUCAUUAUCAGGGUCUCCUACUUUUCUCUUGUUAGGUGUAGCUGAGUAUUUUUAUAUUAUUUUCCUGAAUUGUCUAUCAUUAUUUUGCUUCUAUAAGUUAAGUGAAUGAAUCUAGGCCGUUUACACAAUCUAAGAUAUGAUUUCAUCUAUUAAAACUGGUAUUUGGACAUAUAUUAUAGAAUCAGAGAACUACAGGUUAGCAAAUCUUUUCAGUUAGGUGUUUGUUUCCUUAGAGUUUCAGAUACUUUAUACAUUUAUAUUAUAGAAAAUUUCCAGCCUGUACAAAGACAGAAGAAAUAUAAGUAAUACUCAUGCUGUCAUCAUCCACCGUUACUAGUUAUCAACUCAUGGCCAAUUUGUUACAUCUGUAACCACAGGCACUACCCUGCCACUACGCUUCUUAAAAAUAAUAGUCAUUAUACCACUUAUUUUAAGAUAUUUGAAUAACAAGUCUUUCCUGCUAUUUUAUUUAGAAUAUCAGUGGAAAAACCAGGAAAAAUUAAAGGCAUAUUCAAGAUUUUAGCUAGAAGAGUAAAACAAAAUAGUUUUGAGAAACAUUCAAUUGACACCAAUUUUCAUGAAAAAGAAAUAAUAUUUCCUUUUAUUAUGAGACAAAACAACAUAAUAGGAUAUUAAUUACUUUUUUUUUAAAAAAAUGCUUUAUAUUUCACAAAGUGCUUGCAAGUAGAUUUCAUGUUUGGCUCUCAUAGGUGUAUGAAAUAAGUAGGAGCUCAUUCUAUUUUAAGGAUAAUAAAAAAUGUUCAGAAGUGACUUAUCCAGUGCUGCAGGAUGUGGCUCAAUGAUAGAGCACAGGCCUAGUCUGCAGAGUUCCUGGCUUUGGUCAACAACAACAACAACGUGAACAAAAAAUAAAUAAAUAAAAAGGAGAAAGAGAAAUGAUUUAUCCAAUAUCAACCCCUGAUUAAUGACAGUAAUUGGACCUCAAACUAGUCCUAUGUUCAAGUCCCCUCUUCUUCCUAUUAAUAGCCUGAAAAUAGAAUCUCAAUGAAGGAUUAAAUUUAUAUGUAUCCGUUGUACAUAAAUUAGUGAUCUUUUGUUAUAAAUGAUGGAAUAUUAACUCAAACAAGCUUAGGCAAAAAGGAGAAUUUGGGAGUUCAGAAAAUAGGAAGUGGAGGUAUAGGUCAUGUUCAGAUAUUGCAGGAAACAGGUACUCAGAUGAUAAACUGGAAAUCCAUCUUUUGCUAUGUCUUGGUUCCAUUCUCACUGAUAUUGAGUGCUUUCUCUGGCACGUUUUUUCCAUUGGUGGCAAAAAGGCUUACAUUCUACCAGUUGGUCAACCCUGGCAGAAAUAAGUUCACACUGAUUAGCCCAAACUGAGUCAAAUGUCCAUCCUUAGAGUAGGUAUAGGGUUUGCCUCAUCUGCACUGUGCCUCUAGUGAGAUGCACACUCUGAGAAAUUGGUGCAUGAAAAAGGGGAAAUUUGAAUGUUGGUACUGUAACAAGGGAAAAAGAGUACCCAGCAGAUCAAAGGCACUAGUUGUCUUUAUCCCUGUCCUUACAAAUGAGCAGGAAGUUCAAAAAAUAUAUAUAUUAGAAAGGGAUUGGAUACCCUAAUACUCUCAGCUCAUUGGAUAAUCUGCCCACUCCCAAAACUUACUAAGGAGAUAACAAUGCAAUUACAUAAAGCUUUAUGACUGAGGUGUACUCAUGGUUUUAUGAUUGGGUGGUUCUAAAUCAAAGGGCUUUUCAUGUUUACAAAGCACUCUGUGUACAUUAUUUUAGGUAAGCUUCACAACAACCCUGAGAUAAAUACCAUCAGACUCUUGACCCGGAAGAGAAAGAAACCUGUGAGAUGUGGGUGGAAGGCUUUCAACUGAACUUAUCUCAUGCUCUUUCCUAAAAAUGACGUUUCAACCUCCUCAGUGGGAUUGAGGAUCACAGGACUCACAGGGUGCUUGACCACUGCAGCAGAGACCUGGGUACUGAAGAGAAAUUUUAUGAGAAAUUAUUAUGUGACAAAACAACAUAAUAGGAUAUUAAUUACUUAUUUUUUAAAAAAUGCUUUAUAUUUCACAAAGCAAAUCAGCACAUACAAAACGGAUGGCAUGUUUUCUCCAUCUGCUUAUGGGAAUAGGCAGAAGACCUGAGCCCAUGUAGUCACCCAAUGGCUAGCUGGGCAGGAGUCUGAAAAUAGGUGAAAAUUUAGUUAGCUAAGCAGAAGACAAACUUGAGAGAUUGUUUGGACAAUGAUAAAAAUUAUGAAAGCUGCAAUUAGAACAAACAGAAGGGAUUCAGCCUGAGCCUAAGAGGAAUUUCAGAAAGGAAUGACAGAAUUGUGGCUGAAGUUACCACCAAAGAAGAGAAAUUUUCUUUCCCAAAGGAAGAUCUCAGACUGAAAAUUUGAGCAAACCCCAUGUUCCAGGCAAAUUGUUAACAAAAAACCAACAACAACAAUAAUAAUGUAUCUGGAAAUAUCCUGACAGAAUUUUAAAAAUUUAAUGAUACGGGAUAAAUUCUACAAACAAAAAACCUUCAGGCUGGUCUUAGUCUUCCAGUGGGAUCUCAGUCAGGUUCUUCCCUCAAGUUUGAGCUUUAGACGAAGGCUGGUGUGCUGGCAGCUGAGGUGGUAAAUUGAUUCCAGGGAACAGGACCUCAGUUGAGAAGAGAGGAAAUAACGAAGGAAGAAAAACUGACACCACGCUGCAUUACUGAACUUGUUGGUGCUACAGACGACUGGGACUUGGUGCCACCUUUUGAAGACCUCAACAGAAGGAACCUCAGAGCUAUCUACCUCAAGGUCGGGAGAAGAGAGUCUUUAUCUACCAGCACUCAUCCCCCAUUCGUUGGUAUUGCUGGUUGGGUAGGGAGUGUGGCUGAACUCCCGUAGGUCUCCCUAUUGUUUGAGAAGCCUCAGGGCAGAGAGGAGGAGAGCUACCACCUACCGUGGGAGAAGGGCCAACAGGUCAAAGGCUGGUGUGAGAUGUGGGCAUAAAAGUAUCUGAUAGAGAAGGCAAUGGAGCAACCUCUACAGUACCAUGGAAGAAAGAGGGUGUAGGCCAGGAAUUUUCCAGUACAUUGUCAUUUGAAUUAUAACCAUGAGAGAAAGGCAUGUGGCCAGGCAUAGUAACACUUGCCUGUAAUCCCAGGGAUUUGGGGAGGCUGAGGCAGGAGUAUUGCAAGUUCGAGGACAGCCUCAGCAAUUUAGUGAGGCCCUAAGCAACUUAGCAAGACCCUGUCUCAAAAAAAAAAAAAAAAGAAAAGAAAAGAAAAAAAUAAAAGAAAAGAAGAAAGCUGGGGAUAUUGGGGAUGUGGUUCAGUGGUUAAGUAUCCCUAGGUUCAAUCCCCCAUACCAAAAAAAAAAAAAAAAAAGCAUGUGUAUUAGAUCCCAUCCCACUUUCUACUCAAGAACAUCGCCUGUCCUGGAUCAUUGCCUCUAACAUACAAACAUGGUACUGUUUCUUUUGUUGAUUUUAUUUGAGAUAUAUUUGAUAUACCAAAAAAUUUACUUUCUUGAAGUAUACAACUCAGUGUUGUUUUUUUUUUUUUUGUAUAUUACCAAAGUUGUGCCUCCUUCAUCACUAUCGAAUUCCAAUACAUUUCAUCACCCCCAAAAGAAACCCUGUACCUAAGGUAGCACAGACUCUGUCACUUUUUAGUGUUUGAACUAUUGUUUGUCUCCCUCACAGUUAUGGAUGGUUUGGAUCUGAGAGGUUCCCCAAAGACUCAGGUGUUGAAGGCUUGGUACCCAAUGCAGCAUUGUUCAGAGGUGGGGUUUUUAGGAAGUGAUUGGAUCAUGAGGGCUCUGACCUCAUCAGUGGAUUAGUCUAUUGAUGGCUUUAUAAUCUGAGUGGACUGUUGGGAUGUUGUGGAAACUAUAGGAGGCGGGGCCUAUUUGAAGGGAAUUGAUCUUUGGGAGUGUGCCCUUGGGAACUUUAUCUUGUCUCUGCUCCUUCCCCUCUCUCUUCACUUCCUGGCUGCCAUGAGGUGAGCGUCUUUCUUCUGCCACCUUCUACCCAGGGUCUUGCACGUGCUAGGAAACAGGCCUAAAAGAAAUGAAGCCAGCUGAUCAUAUACUAAAAACUCUGAAACUAUGAGCCAAAAUAAACCUUUUUUUCCCUUAAAGUUGAUUUUAUCAGGUAUUUUGUCACAGCAACAGAAAGCUGAAUAAAAAAACCAAUUUGUUUUAUUUACCACAGUAUCUUCAGUUUUUAGAACCAUGCUAUAUAUUUUUUGAUUAAAUUGAUAAACAUUCAAAUACUAUAGGAUUUAGAAAAUAUACCACUGAGAUACAUUUCCUAAACAACCACUCAAAGAUCUGUGGCAAGAUAAUGAAAAAGGUAAAACAUAAGCAUUCAAGUACAAGAAAACUAGUGCUAGAAUGGUCAGGUCCUAAAUAUCAAAAGCAGGGUAUGACUGUCUUAUAUUUAAAAAUUAGGAAAAAAGGGAAAGAGAUUCAUCUAUUUUAGAAGAAAGAAGAAAAAAAUUAUAUUGGGGAUGAAAUAAUUAUGUGACAUUAUAUACAACAUUAAGUAACAUUAUAUAACAGGUAUAUAAAAUUAUUAUAUCCCAUUUUAUAUGUGUAGAAAAUAGAUGAAAAAAUACCCAAGGAAUUUGUGGCAAUGGGGUACAAUUAAAAGGGUAUGUAAAAGGAGAAAGGCUUUAACCCUCUUGUCUCUUGUGCAUUGUUCAAAUUUGUUUUUUCAAUAGGUCUGUAGAACAUCUAUAAUAAAAAAUUAAGAAAUAAAUAGGGAGGCCAAAAAAUGACUAAUAUCACUAUAAUUAGGCAUGCCUUUAAUGCUAGCAACUUGGAGGCAAAGGCAGGAGGAUUCAAGUUCAAGGCCAGCCUCAGCAACUUUGUGAGACCCUAUCUUAAAGUUUUUUAAAAAAAGGACUGGGGAUAUGGCUCAGUGAUAAAGCACUAUUGGAUUCAAUCCCUAUUUUUUUAAAAAAAUAUUUAUAUUUUAGUUGUAGUUGGACACAAUACCUUUAUUUUAUUUAUUUAUAUGUGAUGCUGAGGAUCAAACCCAGGGUCUUGCACGUGCUAGAUAAGCCCUUUACCGCUGAGCCAAAACCCCCUAGCCCCAAAUUAUAUAUUAAAAAAAAUUGGUAGGAGGCAAAACAGUUAUUAUUUGCAGAUAAUAUUGUUAUCUAAUUAAAAAUCCAAAGAGAAUCAACUGAAAAAUUCUAGAAUCAAAAAUUUGGCAAGACUGCCCAUGCAAAUAUAUUUACAAUACAACAAUAGCUUCCUUGUGUUGCAAGAAAGUAUAAUUAAAUGAUGGAAUAAUAGCAGAAUAAUAAUAAUAACUUGCAGAAUGUGUGCAACUUAAAAAAUUACCCAGAGCUUUCCUGUAUGAUCUCCAAUUAUUUUCACUUGCUUAGCAUUCAUUUCUGGUAACACUGAGUGACUUUCUUGGCAUCCACUCUUUUCUUCUAGCAAUGUUGGUUGGAUUUAGAGGAGCACAUGAUCCAGGUGGGCUCAGUUGAAUUGGUCCCCCUGGAGUUUGGGUUGGGACUGGGUUGCACAAGCUGGAAAAUUGAAACCUGUGUAUCUCAGAGCUGUUGUCCUGCAGAUCAACUUGUGCCUGCCACACAGAGCCCUGGGGCUACUAAGGUUACAGACGUUCUCUGUCUGGUUGUCAACUUCUGUGGGCCGCAGGUCUGUCCUCCUUGCUUCUUUGCCUGCCAGAUAGAGAUGAUGUCUUGGCUGUAUAGAACCAUUACAAUCACUACUGUAAAGCGGUGUCUUUUACUCGGCCCGUUUAAAGUUUCAUGCAAUUACAAUCCAAGUUCCAAUUGAAUAAAUAGGCCAGAGACAGAAUCUAUGUAAUAGAAAAAAGGACUUGAUAUAUGAUAAAGUUAUGAUAAAAUGAUAUACCAUGAAUAAAAAGAGAAACUAAUGGGAUAUAUUAGAAAAAAAUGGCAGUUUGUGGGAGAAACCUAUUUAGUUCUCAUACUUAACAUCUUAUACUAGAGUAAAUAAAUAAAAAUCAAUCCAAAGUGAAUUAAAGUAUUGUUUUUUUAAGUAAUUUUUAAUUGUAGAUGGACACAGUAGCUUUAUUGUAUUUAUUUAUUUUUCUGUGGUACUAAGGAUCAAACCUAGUGCCUCACAUGUGCCAGGCAAGCACUCUACCACUGAGCCACAACCCUAGCCCAAGUAUUAAGUUUUGUAAGAAGGAAAAAUACAGGGAGACUAUAUAAAUGUUGAAAAGUCUUAAUGGAAUCUCUGAUUUCUUCGUGAUAGGCUUCAUAAGCAUAGAAUAAACUGAAUAAAUACAACAGAAAUAGAUUUAACAAGAAGAGAGAUCAGCGGAUAGAGGAAGGAGACUGAGGGGGAGGGAGGAGGCAGGGGAAAAAGGGAAGAAUGUUGGAAUGAAUCUGAGCUAACUUUCCUAUGUUCAUAUACGAACACACCACAGUGAAUCUACCCCCAUGCGUAGAGGGGAGGGAACAGGGGCAGGGGGAAGGAAAGGGGAAGUACUGGGAACUGAAUUAGGGCAAGCUACAUUCAUAUCUGUAUAAUUAUGGCACAAUGAACCCUAAUAUUAUGUAAUACUAAAAGGAACUAAUUAAAAAUAAAUUUAACAGCAUAAAUGUUAAAGUGCCUUGUUGAUCUAAAAACUAAAAAACAAAAAGGCAAGCUUCUUACUUAAGUACCAAUCUGGCCUACAUAACUGCAGUUCUUCUUGUGUUGCAAAUGAAUAAGGAUUUGCCUGCAAAGGCAAGGGAUAGAGAUGGCAGGGGACAAAAUUUAAAAUAUUUAAAGUAGUGGGGCCAGCCUCAGCCACUUAAAUAGGCCCCAAGCAACUUAGCCAGACCCUCUCUCAAAAAAAAAAAAAAAAAAAAAAAAUUAAAAGGGCUGGGGAUGUACUUCAGCUCAGCGCCUCUGGAUUCAAUCCCCAAUGUCCCCCACCAAAAAAAAUUUUGUGGGCCAGACACAUAAAAACUCUUUCUUCAUCCUUCAGUACUCGUCUCAGUACAGAGGUUUCACCUCCAUGUCACCUAACUGGACAACUGCUAGGAAGGUGGCUUGGCCCCUGAGGCAGGAGAAUCACUAGUUCAAAGCCAGCCUCAGCAACUUAGUGAAGCUCUAAGAGACCUUGUCUCUAAAUGAAAUAUUUUUUAAAAAGGGCUGGGGAUGUGGCUCAGUGGUUAAGCACCCCUGGGUUUAAUCCCCAAUAAAAAAUAAAAAUGAAAAAUAAAAAAUAAAUUUUAAAUAUUGUGGCUUAUCUUUAGAACUCCACAUGAAUUUGCUAUUUGAUCACAUCUGUUUGUGUGAAUAUCACACUGCAUUAAAGUGUGCUCAAAGAUGGGCUGCUUUGUGACUUACUAGACCUCCUGGCACACUGCAGGGGAACCUAUUUGAGAAGCAUGAUGCCCUGUAGUAACUACCUAGAAUAAGCUGCUGCCUCUGUGUGGCAUGCCCUUCAGAUCUGCCCCAGCUCACUCUUCAACAGUUUCUCUCUCUUAUAAUUAUGCAGAGGUUGAAUUAAUCCUUCUCAGGACCUGCCUAGUGGACUCUUUCUUCAUCCUUCAAUACUCAUCUCAGUACAGAGGUUUUACCUCCAUGUUACCUCACUGAACAACUGCUAAGAAGGUGACUUUGCCCUUUUCUGCCCCACUGGGUACUAGCAUUGCAAUACCUAGUGCUUGUCUGGAAAUACCAGUGUCCAGCAUAGCAGGGACUACUAAAUAAUGUUAAAUAAUGAUAUCUUCUUUUUGAAUUGUUAGAAUCUUCUCCCAUCACCACUUCUAUGCCUUGGGCAGGAGACCUUGCCUUCCCAGCUAGUCAGUCCUCCUGCAAUCCCCCAAGAGUACGGAACAAAACUAGCAGGUUACAGAGGUUCCACGGGGAUGAGAGACAGGGAUGAAAACUUCCUGCUGAAGGGUUGCCAGUCCUGCUUCCUGUCAUUUCAUUCUGCCCAAUUAGAACCCAGGAGGGAUAUAGGAUGAAUGGUAGCAUAUAUACUCCAAGUGUGUGUAUGUGUGUGUGUGUGUGUGUAUGUCCAUACCCCCAGGUACUGGGUGGGUUUGCCCUGACAAAAUACAUUGCUUCAAAUCAAAGCACUAUCUUUGAAUCCACUGGUAAAUGCAAUGCACAACAGACGGAAGCUGGUCACAGUUGGUCCCGUGCAUGUCCUUUUAUUUCCUCCCCAUGUGAAAUGUGUCUAUGAACAUACACCAUUUUAAUUUUAUUUUAAUUUUGGUGGUGGGGGGAUCUAAUCUAGAGCCUCUAGCAUGCCAGGAAAGUGCUCUAUCACUAAGCACCAAAACAAUACAACACUUUGGGUGGGGGCCAGGUACUGGGGAUUGAACUCAGAGGCACUCAACCACUGAGCCACAUCCCUAGCCCUACUUUGUAUUUUAUCUAGAGACAGUCUCAAUGAGUUGCUCAAUGCUUUAUUUUUUGCUGAGGGUGGGCUUUGAAUUCUUGAACCUCCUGCCUCAGUCUCCUGAGCCGCUGGGAUUACAGGCGUGUGCCACCAUGCCCGGCCCAAUACAUCAUUUUUAAAUAAAAUAUUUUUAACAUUUUCUCCUAACCUGAUCCUCAUUUCUCUUCCUCUGUGCCUAACUUCAUUUUUCCCCUGUUUCUUGAGAUGUUAUAAUAAUAGCAAAAAAAUUUUUUUUAAAUCUUUUAAUUUAUUUUCUAAAAGAACAAAACCAAACACAGUUGGAACAAAAGACCUUCUUCUCCAAGGAUAUGUAGAAGAAAUGAUAGUUGAAAUAGAAAAUCAGGCUGUGCAUGGUGGUGCACAUGUGUAAUUCUAGUGGCUAGAGAGGCUGAAGCAGAAGAAUCACAAUUUUAAGGCCAGCCUCAGCAAUUUAGUGAGGUCCAAAAAACUUAGUAAGACCCUGUCUCAAAACAAAAAAUUUUAAAAAGGGUAGGGGAUGUGGAUCCUUAGUACAACCUCCUCCCUGUCCCCCGCCGUUCAAUCCUCAGUACAACAAACAAACAAACAAACAAAAACUGUUUUGGUGGAUUAAGGUAGAAGCUAGCUUUGAGAGUUUGAAAAUAGAAUCAGGGAAUAUAGAUGAUUGUAGGGUAGUCAGAUAACUCAGAGUUUUUUUUUUUUUAAUUUUUAGCAGCAACAAUCUGAAUGGCAGUAUAGCUUCUUCAGCAGAACUCAGUGGUCCCAGUGGUAGGCUAUGAUGGGAUGUCUUGUAGAUUAAACACAAAAAACCCCAACACUGCUCAGGGAACACCAAUGUAAACAAUUAUGAUCACAGUUUGUUUAGAGGAUUUAGCCCCUGAAAUACCCAGAAUUAUCUGGAAUAGAUUAAUUUCUGUAUAUUUUGUUUGAAAUAUUCAAAAUGUUAAAUAUACUUGCAAAAUUAGUCUGAAAUUUUAUUUCAACAUCAAAGUGUACACAUCUGUUUUUGUUUGCAUUGUAGAAAGUUCACUUUGGUGAGUUGUCAUGUUUCUCAAUAAUGACAAAUUAGGAUACUAUAUUAUAGUAAUAAAAAUAAUAGAAAAGCAGCAUGACAUACCAUUAAUAAUAGUAAUAAAAAUAAUAGUAAUAAAAAUAAACAAAAUUUUUAAUAAAAACAAUAGCAACAAUAGUAAUAAAAGUAAAUAGAAGCUGGACCUAUAAUUCCAGUGGCUCAGGAGGCUGAGGCUGGAGAAUGGCGAAUUCAAAGCCAGCCUCAGCAAAAGUGAGGUGCUAAGCAACUCAGUGAGACCUUGUCUCUAAAUAAAAUAUAAAAUAGGGCCGGGGAUGUGGCUCAAUGGGCAAGUGCCCCUGAGUUCAAUACCCAGUACCAAAAGAUAAAUAAGCAAAUAAGCAAAUAAAUAAAUAAAUAAAUAAAUAAAUAAAUAAGCAAGCAAUAUGACUUCCUAGAAUGAUUUUUUUCCUUUUGGUAUUCUGGUGUUUGAGCACAGGGUCUCAUGCAAGCUAGGCAAGUGCUAUUUCACUGAAGUACAUGCCCAGCUCCUAAUAACCCCUGCUCAUUUUUAAAAAUUUGAAACAGGUUUCACUAAGUUUCCCAGGCUGGCCCUGAGCUUGCCAUCCUCCUGCCUUAGCUUAUUGAGUAUCUGGGAUUACAGGGUACAUCAUGGUGCCUGGUUAAGGUUUUUUUGUUUGUUUUUAUCUAGGUGUUUCCUUUUUAUUUAUUCUACUGAACUUUUUAACUUGGAAAAUUUCAGGCCUCAGAAAAACUAUAAGAAUAUUGCAAUGACCUUGUAUUGCCAUAUUUGCCACAUUUCUUAGUUUAUGGCUUAUGUAACUAUAAUAAACUAAUACAAGCAAUAUUUUUUAAUUUUUUCUGAACCAAUUGAGGGUGGGUUACAGGGGUUAUAGAAUCCUUAAGUACUUCAUUGCAAAUCUCCUGAGAAUGAGGGCAAUCUCAUAUAAGAGAUUACAUAAAAUCUUUGUGCAGUGAUAAAAAUCAGAAAUCUUAACAUGGGUAAUACUAACAUACAGUUCAAAUUGAAAUUUUGGCAAUUGUCCCAGUGAUGUCUUUUAUAAAAGCAACUCUUUUCUCCAAUUCAAGACCCGACCUAAGAUUAUAUGCUUGAUUUAUUUUCAUGCUUCUUCAGUUUUUUUUUUUUUUGAAUCUAGGAAGAUUUCUCAGCCUUUCUUUGCCUUUCAUGACAGAGACUUCUUGAAGUGUUCAGCUUGUUGUUUUUUUGUAGAGAUCUCAAAGGUUCUGAAAAUUUUGAUUGGGAUAAAACUGGGAUUCUAACUCAUGAACAACCACAGAUUAACAAAGAGUCAUUGACCAUCUCCAAUUUUAUUUUUCCAGUGUUGUCUCCCUUCUGACUCAAACUGAUCCUCAAAUAAAGAGCCUGAUUCCUUUAAAAAAUCGAUUUUCUCAUCUUUAAAAUGGGGAUAAACUGCAUGAGGGUGCAUACCUGUAAUCUCAGCAACUCAGGAGGCUGAGGUAGAAGGAUUUGAAAGUUUGAGGCCAGUCUCAGAAACCUAGUGUGACCCUGUCUCAAAAUAAAAAACAAAAGGGACUGUGGGUAUAGCUGGAUGGUAAAGAGCCCCAGGUUCUAUCCCCCAGAACCAAAAAAAAAGAAAGAAAGAAAAAUUACUUGAUUAUUCAGGAUAAUAUUGUUUGUUUGUUUGUUUGUUGAAAGAUAAAAUGAGAAAAUGGAUAUGAUAUCACUCUAGAACUGCAAAACAUUUUACAAAAUGAAAAGCAUUAGUCUUCCAUGUAAAUCAGUGCAACAGGGUUUUUUUUUUUUUUUUUUUUUUGGUUUUUUGUACUGGAAUUGAACCCAGGGAUCUUAAUCACUGAGCCACAUCCAGGGCCCUUUUUAUUUUUUAUUUUGAGACAGGGUCUCACUAAGUUGCUUAGGGCCUUGCUAAGUUGCUGAGGCUGGAUCUGAACUUGUGAUCCUCCUGCCCUCAACCUCCUGAGCCACUGGGAUUACAGUAUUCAUCACUGGGAUCAGCAGUGCAACGGAUUUUUAACUGUCACCAUUGAUACAUGUUAUUCUUCCUAAUAGAAAGAAUACCAUCUAUGUCUUCCCCUCCUUCUCCUCCCCUCUCUUCUUUCUUUCUCUUUCUAUACAACAUACACAGCCUCACUACUAGCAUUCCUUAGACACAAUGUAACAACAUAGCACCAACAGUUAAUUACUAAGAGAAAAAAAAUAACACUUGGAAGAUUUCUCAUUCCUGAUUACUGGACCAUUAGAGACAUAUUGUCUAGAACUUAUUUGAUAACUUUGUUCUGAGGAGUAGUAGAGGUAAGAUAUAAAUCCAUUACAUGAAAGGGAGCCUUAGAAAAAUUCUAGCUCAGAGUGUUCAUCUCCAAAGGUGACAGCUUGCUCAGGCCACACAGCUAAUUCAGAGUCACGACCAGACAGACAGGUUUUGGCUCUUGGUCUACUUGACCUCACACAACCUGAGUUUAGUCAGGCCCCAGGAAGCCAGUCAAUUCAUUAAAGAAUGCCAUCAUCUAAAGGGAUCAACCCAGCCAGGGUCAGUUUGGUCAUCUACUCACCUCAGGGCAUCUGAAUGAAAGGGCAACUGAGGAGGUUGAAUUGGAGUGAGCGGCUUUGGUGCAGGUGGUCUCAGGGUCCCUGGUACCUCUCACAAGGUGGCUCUACUGGGGAGAUAGCAGAACUGCUCUGCUGGAGGGAUCUUCACAGCUUUAUUUAUAUAGAAAACAUUUUCAAGCUUGCAGAAAGAUUGCCAAAAUAAAAAUAGUACAAAGAACACACAAACAUCUUUUACCCAGAUUUGCCUAUUAAGAUUUAACCCCAUGAGCCUUAUUUUGCCACUCCUUCUACUUAUAAAUUUUUUAAAUAUAGUCUUUGAAGGCUGAGGUUGUGGCUCAGCAGUAGAGCACUCACCUAGCAUGUGCAAGGCCCUGGGUUGGAUCCUCAGCACCACAUAAAAAUAAAAUAAAUAAAGGUAUUGUGUCCAACUACAACUAAAAAAUAAAUAUUUAAAAAAAAUCUUUGAAUAGGCAUCAUCUUAAUCAUUUGUUAGUGUAUAGUUCAGUGGUAUCAAGUCCAUUCACAAGGCUGACCUGCUAUCGCCACCAUCCAGCCACAGAGUUCCUCACUUUGCAAAAUUAAAACUCUGUACCCAUUAACACACACACACACACACACACACACCUUCACACACACACACCUUCACACACUCAUGCAUUUUUUUAUGAACCACUUGAGCAUAAAUUAUUUAUGAACCACUUGAGUAUAAAUUAUCUCACCUUUCCCUCUCUAGAAACUUCAAUGUUUAUUUCCUAAAAAUGGGAAUAUUAUCCUAUAUAACACAGUUCAGGAAUCUGUGUAAUAUACCAUUCAUCUUUCAAUUUUGCCAGUUGACCUAACAAUGCUUGUUAGAGUCUGUAAACAAGUCAGGAUGGCGCCUGGCAUUUUGCAGAGGGAGUGGUUUGUGAAGUAACACCAGUGAGCCAUUAAGUGUGGAGAUUCCUUAUUGGUUGACUGCUGUAUCUAGUUUAUGUUAAUUAAGAUAAGCUGUGUGGAAUAUAUAUAUACCCCUCCUGUCCUACAAUAAACGGCUCCCACUCCUGCUGUAUCAAUGUACACAAGUUCCUCGUCACCCCCCACCCCCCGCCCCCGGUUAUUUUGCUGCAGCUGGACUGAGGCAAAUGCUCUUUCUAGAAUUUUCCUCUGCAGUACAAAAUCAAAUCUACAAAGAGGAGUUGCAUUUGGUUGUCUUGUUUUUUAAUCUUUUAAUCUGAAUUGUUUCCAGAGUCUUUGUUUCUUAUGAUGAGGAAUACUCAUCACCAGGUUUUCCUGAUGUUUCCAGUAGUUACAGUCAGGCUGUGCCUUUCAUAGGGAUACCAUGUAAGUGAUAGGUUCUUCCAAGGGCUUUGCAUCUGGAGGAAAUAAUGUCCAGGGGCUCCUCCUAUGACUGGCGAUGUCACAUUUUUUCAUCAGACGCAGGAGUCAUCUUAUUUUUCCACUUUAAAUUUAUUAUUUUAUAAUGGUGGUAUAUAUACAUGAUGGAAUAUUACUCAGCAUUAAAAGAGAAUAAAACUAUGGCAUUUGCAGGUAAAUGUAUGGAGUUGGAGAAUAUCAUCCUAAGUGAAGUAAGCCAAUCCCAAAAAACCAAAUGCCAAAUGUUUUCUCUGAUAUGUGGAUGCUGAUUCAUAGUAGGGGUCGGAAGGAGCAUGAGAAGAAUGGAGGAAUUUUAGAUAGGGCAAAGGGAAGGGAGGGGAAGGUAGGGGAUAUGGGGGUAGGAAAGAGAUGGAACGGUGGAAUGAGAUGGACAUCAUUACCCUAAGUACAUGUAGGAAGACACUAAUGGUGUGACUCUACUUUGUGUACAACCAGAGACACAAAAAAUUGUGCUCUAUGUGUGUACUAUGAAUUGAAAUGCAUUCUGCUGUCAUGUACAACAAAUUAAAAUAAAUAAAUAAUUUUUUUUUUUAAAAAUCACUAUUUUAUUUUCUUCCCUUGCAACCAUGAAGUAGUGGAUGGGAAGACGCUUUCAGAGCAUGCAGUCAAUCUAUUCCUUAUCAAAUUUCUGUCCGGAUUUGGAAUCAAUUGAUGUUUCUUGCCUGAUCCAGUCUCACUAUGUCGGUUGCAAAAGAUCUUUUUUACCUCCUGCCUUCCCUUCACAUUUACUAGUCUGCCCUCAACACUCUCCUCUCAGCAAAAGCCCUCAGUUUUUCUUGUUCAUCUCUCUCAUUCUCUCGCCAUUGGUAUAAAAUCAUGAAUUCUUAAUUUUCCUGUGAUUUAUAUUCAUCAUGUUGAUGUUCAGAUAGUUCCAGGUGGCCAGAGGUGGCACAUAGUGUCCUUGAGACUUGCUCCUUUAUUAUUUUCAUUCAUUUUUUAAUACUUUCUUACUUAAUAAACUUUUGUGCUCAACUCGUCUCUCUGCCCCUGCUCUGGAAUGAAGCCCUACAACCUCCUAACCCAGUGGCAGACACAGGGCUGGUGGGCGGAGGGUGAAUGGGGACCCUGGAGGGAGAAGACUGGGCCUUUCUGGACCUAAACAAAGGAUAAUGUAUAAGUAAAGCAACAAUUUGGUAAAUAGGUUUGUUAUUUUGAGAAAAACCAGGUUAGAGACCUAAAUAAUCCUGUGCCUUGUCAACAGAAUUGAAUAGUACCUUGAGGCAUGGCCUCUGGAGUCAGAUGACCUGGAUUCAGGUUUCAGUUCUGUCAUUUUCUAGCUGUAUGUCCUUAGCAAAGGACUUAGGUUCUUCCUCCAUAAAACAAGAUUGCUUAUGGCAUUAAUAUUAAAAAGUAACACAAGGAGUGCAUUAAAUCUCCCAUGUAAGUGCUGGGCAGAAUCUGUAGCACAUGGAAUUGCUUAGUAAGUCACAAUUCUUAUUGUCAAUUGUAUUUGCUGGAUUCUUGUUCUUUUUCAUCUUCUUGUUUUAAUUGAAUGAAAAAAAAUAACACCUGUCUUUUCAAAUUGAAAAUCAUUCUGUGAAUAUGGUUAAUUCUUUUCAACUAUACAUGGAGCUGAAAAGACCAUUUGGUGACAUGGCUUUUGUUUACAGGCAUGAUGGAAAGAUUUCUAAGACACUGCCCAGUAUUAAAAUAACCCUAAAAAGUGUUCGGAAAACAAUAGUGUUCAAUGUUCACUAGGGGGAGCUAUUAUAACAAAUUAUGUGCUGCUUCUUUUAAAAAUACUUCAUAGUUUAUGGAUAGUGUCUCUUUCCUUCAAGUAAAAAUUGAUAUUAUAUUGUACUUUAUGACAUAAUUAUUUACAAUUAUUUUUACAUAAAUAUUUGUGUAAAAAUAUGGCAUCUGUCUUUAAAAGUAAAUAUUAAUAUGAUUUGGAGAGAACAAAUAUUUCCUAAGCUUUGGAAACUGCUCUAAGGUCUCAUCCUGUUUUGGCCAGAGGAUUUCCUAGAAAUUGUAAGAGCUUAAUAAUGAGUAGAGUAUAUAUAGUUGGAUAAAGUUUAUUGAACACAUUAAAUAGUGAAAUGAAAACAAGCCAUUUAAAAUAGUUGACAAUGUACCCUGAGAUGACAGCAGAAGGUAAAAUAAAGACAGAUGCAACUUGAAAGUAGUCCCUCCAAGUACUACUCCUCUAGAAAGAAGGGAAACUUAGUGGAAAAGCAAUAGGUGUGAAUCAGAUGUAAUCUGGCAAUUUGGGACUCAGUGUAGCACAGCAGUAGGGGGAAAGUCUACAUCUGGGGGCCCCCUUCCAUGCUAUUUGACCCCUGCAAAUACGCUCAGCCUCUGCAGCUGCACUUCUAACAGAAAAGGGUUGGAGCUCCAAAGUUCCUUUGGGUUCUGACACUCUGAUACUGAAAAAGCAUUCGACUGGUGUAAUAAGAUGGCCAUUUGCUUAACUUUUAAUGUCUUUUGUGCUAUAGGCUGAUCUUCCUUGUUUUGCUACGGUCAAAUCUCUCCUCACACCCAGAAUCAGGGUACUAUUUAUUUAUGUGACACUUUCCAAUGUGUCAUUCGUUGUUUUUGUUUGUUUGGUUUUAGGUUCUCCUUGAAGAGCAAGAGAAUGAUUUCUUAGGACUGGACUGCGAUGUGUGUGAGGGAACUGUGGGUGGAAGGAUGGUCUGGGAAAACUGUGAAAAGAACCUUGGUGCUGCUAUCACUCCAAAUAUACUGGAAAGAUGGUGCAAGGAAUACCGCAGAAAGUGAUAGAAGAAAGCUGAAUGAAAACAGAGAUUUGACUUCAAAAAAAGCAAGAUUUGAUCCAUAUGGAAAGAAUAUGUUCUCCACUUGCAGAAUGUGUUCAAGUGCUGUGCACCAUUCGGGUUCUCAUUACUGCCAGGGCUGUGCUGGCAAAAGGGGCAUCUGUGCCAUGUGUGGGAAAAGGUUUUGGAUACCCAAAACUACAAGCAAACAUCUAUGUUAAUGUAUUGAUGAAGUUUCCAUAAUUUUACUUUCUGCUUUGUAUUUUCAAAGCCUUGCAUAGGUGUCCAACUUAAAAAUAACCAAUUACAUUUUAGCUAGCGAAGUUGAUCAGUGUUCAUUCUUUUGCUCUCCAUAAGUCCUUCACAAUAGCAAUGUAACUAAAUCUUAUGCUUUAAGUGAUUAUUUUCCUUAUGAGCAUUUUAUUGAACUAAAGUGUCAAAAUCAAUGGAAAAAAAUUCUGUGUUCUGUGUGCACUUUUUACUUGACAGUGUUUGUAUAGUUCUUGUCCCCUCCAACUGUUAGGGUCUGUAAACAAGUCAAGAUGGCGCCUGGCAUUUUGUCAGAGGGAGUGGUUUGUGAAGUAAUGCCAGCGAGCCAUUAAGUGUGGAGAUUCCUUAUUGUUUGACUGCUGUAUCUAG